AUUGAACGCUGGCGGCAGGCCUAACACAUGCAAGUCGAACGGAGCGGCGGACGGGGGAGUACUGCCUAGGAAUCUGCCUGGGAGUGGGGGAUAACGUCCGGGAACGGGCGCUAAUACCGCAUACUAUCAGAUGAGCCUAGGUCGGAUUAGCUAGUUGGUGGGGUAAAGGCCUACCAAGGCGACGAUCCGUAACUGGUCUGAGAGGAUGAUCAGUCACACUGGAACUGAGACACGGUCCAGACUCCUACGGGAGGCAGCAGUGGGGAAUAUUGGACAAUGGGCGAAAGCCUGAUCCAGCCAUGCCGCGUGUGUGAAGAAGGUCUUCGGAUUGUAAAGCACUGUAAGUUGGGAGGCGUUACCAACAGAAUAAGCACCGGCUAACUUCGUGCCAGCAGCCGCGGUAAUUC
rnacentral:rRNA from 1 species